AGCCAUCAACCCGUGAACACAAGGAUGCGUUCUGUAGCCAUGGAUUCAACCAACCACAGACCAAAAAUCUUCCCAAAAAGUCUAUCUUCACUGGGCAGGAUGUAGGCCUCUGUGGUCUUCAGAAGAUGUGGCUACAUGGUAAACCAAGCCCAGCAGCAAGUUAACAACCAACACUGUUCCUGGCUCAGCCAGGGGCUGACCACAGUCAAGGGCUCCCUGUUUGUUUGAACUUACACACUCUACAUCUAUGAAGAUGCAAUGGCGUUUCCCUUCUCUUCUUUACUGAGGUCUUCAGCCCUGCAGUGAACAGCUCUCCAUCUGGGCGGUUGUGAAGAGGAUAAACAGCACAGAGCAGAGCAUUGUUGCCCAGCUGAUGUGCCUCCCUCUUACGGGAGCCCUGCCCAGUCCCCAGCAGAACAUCUGUGGCUACAAUAGUUUCAUUUCACAUUUGGACUCUGUCACAGGCAUCAUCAUGGGCAUUGAAUAUGUUCCCAAAGGAUUGUAAACAAGAGCUGUUUAACGAGACGUAC
rnacentral:lncRNA from 1 species